rnacentral:lncRNA from 1 species
AGGAAGUAGUUUCUUUCAUUCCAGGAAUAUUUACAGAAAUUACAUAAUCUUCAUGAGAACUGGUUGAUGAAGAAAACUCACUUUAAGUUGCCUUGUCCUGUACUGGUUCUGGAUGGUAACCAAGACAGACAAGGGAUGGUACAACAGUUUCAACAAUAUGCUGACAGGAUUUUGGGUUUCAAAGGAUGGAGACCAACAAAUGAUCUCUAGGAUUUCUACUUCACCAUGUGUUAAAAGAAUUGUGAAAGGUGGAACAAUUAACUAAGGCUUUAUAUAUCUAGACUUCAAAUUUGUAAUUUGUUUGUUAGAGGAGAAGUUCAGUAAAGAGGUUAUAGAUAUGUAGUUGUACUAGUGAGAAAAACAAGUUAUCGGUAGUUUACAUAAUGUACUACCUACAAAUUAAAUUUAUCUAGCAAUUUGAAGACAGUUUGCCCAAAGUUAUUAAGAAAAACUGUAUUAUUAUUUUUUUAGCAAAAAUCUAUAGAAGCAAGCAAAGUUUUAAACCAAAAAAUGUGUAUAACUGCAGAGGAGCAGACUUGAACUUUAUAUUUAUACAUUCAGAUGGGUUUGCUGAAAAAUGACAAACUGUUGAAUUCUCUUGAUGAUCUGUUUUUAUUUUUUAACAAGGCGAUAACAAAGUGGGAAAUUUGAUUGCAGGAAUGGGAAAGUAAGUAAGUUAAGCUUGCAUUUACAGUUUCUACUUCUUAUUUUCAGUAUUUUUCAAGAACUAUUUUAACCAUGAGUUUUUAAUGUCUUCAAAAAAAAAGCUUUAAUUUCUGGCAGUGACACCAAUUAAAGAUUCAAAUAUAGAGCCCUCUGUUAAACACAGACACAAAAACAAUGUUGCAAUGUACAAAAUUGCUCACUGCAUACUUGUUUUUCUUAUGAUGUAUGGUGGUGAACUUUUUUGUUUUCCAAGGGUUUUACUGAUAGACUGAUUAUGUUAGAAAUUUUGUAAAAACUGUUUCGAUUCAAUAAUCAAAAACUGUUUAUAUUGGAGAUAUUUUACUUGAAAUUAUUAAAUGUUUCUUCAUUUAGAUUUUCAGGUUAAUUGGAAAUUUAAACAAAAUGUACAAGUAAUGUAAUAUUAAUUGUCUGUACAAUAGUAAUUAAAAUUUUAAUCAAAUCUAAAUAUAUAGUAAUAAUUGACUAUUACAUAUCACCUGGUCAAGUAGUAAAAAAAUAAAUGUAUUUUUAAAUAAUCUUCUCAACACUUGGCUACAACCUAGUGGCAGUGAAUUUCAUUUGAAAAACAAAAGUAAUCAUAAUUCUUAGUUCAUAGAAACUGUUUCUGUCAAUCUGUCAAGCAUUCCAGCUUUUUUUUAAAUAAAAUUUUAUAGUGAUAUUUAUGGUAACAGUUUGGUUUAAUAAUGUUGUUAUAAAAUUAUCCUGACAUUCUCUUUCAUCAUGGUUUUUUUUAUCUUAAAUGGAUAUUUAUAAAAAAAUUUGAUAUAGAACUUUAUUUCUUGUCAAGUUUUGAAACUUUUGUAGGUCUAACCUUGCUUGUAAACUAUUUGUGAAUGCUAAAUAUUUAAUUUCAGUGGAGUAUGAGCAAUUCUCAUUGUGGAGUAUUUAAUUAUGAUGUUUAAACUAGUCAGUAAGUGUUUUUAUCAUUACGCUUAAAAUUUUAUUUUAUUUAUAUUGUAAUCCUGUAUUUGUAAACUCUGAAUAAGAGCACGAACACUCAAAGAAAUAUUCUUACUUACUAGUUGUACGAAACACUGGAUAUAACUUUUUUGUAUUCCAAAUAAUUUGGCCAUAUGAAUGCAACUCUCAAUUCUGUAAGAUAAAUCAUCAAUAGGUUCUUCAUUGUGAAAAAACAUUUGCUUUUUUCCAGUUACAUGAACAUUUUACAAGCUUCUAACUUUGACUUGUUCUUUUUUUUUCAUAUGUUUGUGGAGAUUUAUACCAGUUUGGAUUUCAUGUUUUGCCUUUUAUUCGCCUGUUUCAGAUAAUUUUGUUGAUAAAAAAAAAACAAGUUUAUUUCUCCAAAAUGCCUUUCCUCAGCACAAAACCUUUUUCUUAAAUGGCAUAUUAUAUAUGUUUUUUAGAUUGAAUGUAUGGUAUUUUUGAAAUAAAUGUAUAAAAAAAGAUUUAAGUCAGUA